GGGUUGUGAGGUUAAGCGACUAAGCGUACACGGUGGAUGCCCUGGCAGUCAGAGGCGAUGAAGGACGUGCUAAUCUGCGAUAAGCGUCGGUAAGGUGAUAUGAACCGUUAUAACCGGCGAUUUCCGAAUGGGGAAACCCAGUGUGUUUCGACACACUAUCAUUAACUGAAUCCAUAGGUUAAUGAGGCGAACCGGGGGAACUGAAACAUCUAAGUACCCCGAGGAAAAGAAAUCAACCGAGAUUCCCCCAGUAGCGGCGAGCGAACGGGGAGGAGCCCAGAGCCUGAAUCAGUGUGUGUGUUAGUGGAAGCGUCUGGAAAGGCGCGCGAUACAGGGU
rnacentral:rRNA from 1 species